rnacentral:rRNA from 1 species
GACGAACGCUGGCGGCGUGCUUAACACAUGCAAGUCGAACGGAAACGCCCUGCUUUUGUGGGGUUCUCGAGUGGCGAACGGGUGCGUAACACGUGAGUAACCUGCCCUUGUCUUUGGUGUAACUUCAGGAAACUUGGGCUACUACCGUAUAGCAUCUCCUGCUGCAUUGUGGGGGUUGGAACUUUUAGGCGGUUGUGGAUGGACUCGCGGCUUAUCAGCUUGUUGGUGGGGUAGUGGCUUACCAAGGCUUUGACGGGUAGCCGGCCUGAGAGGGUGACCGGCGACAUUGGGACUGAGAGACGGACCAGACGGCUACGGGAGGCAGCAGUGGGGAAUAUUGCACAAUGGGCGGAAGCCUGAUGCAGAAACGCCGCGGGCGGGAUGACGGCCUGCGGGUUGUAAAACGCUUUCGCCUGUGACGAAGCGGGAGUGACGGUAAUGGGUAAAGAAGCACCGGCUAACUACGUG